CGGUCAUCCAGAUUCCACAGGUCCACCAUCUCCAUUACAGCCUCUCCAGACAAAGUCGAUUCCUGAGGAAAAUUUUCAAGCUCAUUGACGUGCACGGGAGAGGUUACUCAGGAUAAUAUCUCCUCAUCUUGCAAGCUGAAGCUGCUCUGAUUAUAUCUAUUGCUUCUGCUAUCUACACCAUGUUAUGCUGAGACUUUACUGGGCCGUUUGGAUUUUGUUCCCUGAUUAUUUUAUAAUACCGCUGGUGGGCCUGUAUAUUUUGAUC